UUAGUUGGUGGAGUGAUUUGUCUGGUUAAUUCCGUUAACGAACGAGACCUCAGCCUGCUAACUAGUAGUGCUUAUCCUUUGGCCAUCGUCCGUUCCGGCUUGGUGGCCGGCAGUCCGCUGUCGUGGCGCCUCGCCUGGUUCGGGCCGGUCAGUUCGGGAUAGGAGAGGCUUUGGACCGCUUGCGGUCCGGGCCCGUUCGACUUCUUAGAGGGACUAUCUGUGCGCAGCAGGUGGAAGUUUGAGGCAAUAACAGGUC
rnacentral:rRNA from 1 species